AAAUUGAAGAGUUUGAUCAUGGCUCAGAUUGAACGCUGGCGGCAGGCCUAACACAUGCAAGUCGAGCGGUAACACAGAGAGCUUGCUCUCGGGUGACGAGCGGCGGACGGGUGAGUAAUGUCUGGGAAACUGCCUGAUGGAGGGGGAUAACUACUGGAAACGGUAGCUAAUACCGCAUAACGUCGCAAGACCAAAGUGGGGGACCUUCGGGCCUCAUGCCAUCAGAUGUGCCCAGAUGGGAUUAGCUAGUAGGUGGGGUAAUGGCUCACCUAGGCAACGAUCCCUAGCUGGUCUGAGAGGAUGACCAGCCACACUGGAACUGAGACACGGUCCAGACUCCUACGGGAGGCAGCAGUGGGGAAUAUUGCACAAUGGGCGCAAGCCUGAUGCAGCCAUGCCGCGUGUAUGAAGAAGGCCUUCGGGUUGUAAAGUACUUUCAGCGAGGAGGAAGGCAUUAAGGUUAAUAACCUUAG
rnacentral:rRNA from 1 species